rnacentral:rRNA from 1 species
UACGAAGGGGGCUAGCGUUGCUCGGAAUCACUGGGCGUAAAGCGCACUAGGCGGAUUGCUAAGUCAGGGGUGAAAUCCUGGAGCUCAACUCCAGAACUGCCUUUGAUACUGGCGACCUUGAGUCCGGGAGAGGUGAGUGGAACUGCGAGUGUAGAGGUGAAAUUCGUAGAUAUUCGCAAGAACACCAGUGGCGAAGGCGGCUCACUGGCCCGGUACUGACGCUGAGGCGCGAAAGCUAGGGGAGCAAACAGG